rfam:Kuraishia capsulata CBS 1993 genomic scaffold, Kuraishia_capsulata_scaffold_7
GGUCCCUUGGCCCAGUUGGUUAAGGCGCCGUGCUAAUAACGCGGAGAUCAGCAGUUCGAUCCUGCUAGGGACCA